GUUAAUUUACGAUUUUUGGACCUAAUCUCAGAACCUUCUCUACAUAGGCGAAAUGACAAAUGAUUAUUGCAUACAUUAUCGUCACUAGUCAAUGCAUCCAUUAGUAUGUAUAACAUUAUUGAAUCAGAUGGAUUGGAAAGAGAUGCUGCUUAUCUUUUAUAUAAGCUUCUUAAGGGGCUCUCUCAGGUGAAAAGCUUAGAAAUGUCAGACGAAACACUUAAGGUAUAUUUCCUCAUCUGCCUGUUUUUCAAAGAUUGACUCAUCUUCAAUUAUAUAUAGCACCUGUACACUUUGAUGAUAGAGCACUGCAGAGCAUUCUCAAAAAUUCGCCUCUUCUUAAUUGUCGUGAUUUUGGGUACCCACUUGUAUACUGAAAGACAGCUGCAUAUUGGAUUCGAUACCUCCUUGCUAAUGAUGCUCUUCAACAUCAUCCAAAUCAGAAGUUCCUGAAUGCAGACAGGAGCUGCGCAUCUCAUAUUUUUCAACAUUUCUGUAGAACGAGAUGUAUGAUUGUGGUGGUUUCUUAAUGCAGAAGGGGACAUUAAGGUUUCCCAAAGAAUCAAUGAAUUGUGGAACCAUCUUAAGAAUGUUUAUUGAGUCCAACUAUGUUGCUUCUUAUAAUUUGUCACCUCUGGCUAUUUCCCAGAGCUUCUUACAAUGUUCUUACCUGUUUGAUUAUGUUCGAUUACAAUGUUUUACAUGUUUUAUGGUUGCUAACUUAUUAAGAAUGUUGUCGUUUGGCUAUAUAGGGCCAUUAUUGAAA